rnacentral:sRNA from 1 species
UAUGCUUUGUGUUUAAAAUAUUUGUUAUUCGAAAAGAAACAUUUCAAAUUGUUGCAGAAACACACUGAUUUGAAAUGAGCGCUGCACGGCAGUGGUAUAUCUAUAAAACAACAACAACAACAACAACUGAAUCCCCCGAGCAGAAAGCAGCGCGUGCUAUUGAAACUGGAACAAUCAUUUUAAUCGUUCUAGCAAGCUUAUGCGCUUUCUUUGGGCUGUGCUGCUUGCCAUUCCUGGUUGGCAUUUGCUGUGGCCUGGGCUUGUGUGGCACGCAUCAUGCCUACGAGUAUGGCUAAUGCUUUUGAGCUGAAGUCGUCGUUGGCUUUUUUUUGGAUCUUGUGCGACUGCUUACAUUAAUUCAGAAAAUUCAAAUCCGUAGUAGAUCUAGUUGGCUGUGUUUAUAGUUAUAUUUGAGCCUUUCUUCAAAUUUUAUAUCAGAUUAGCAUCGCAUUUUUAAUCAAAAAUUAAACGUAUUUCUCAGUGAAAA